CUGUGCUGAUGGGAUCUUCCGCCUGACCAAGUUAUGUUCUGAAGUUACAUUCUAAUGUGUCUCAGUUUCCAUACUGAAUGCUUGACUUCACAGACUUUUGGGAAUUGUUUGCUGCAGAUGUGGUGAUGAUGCACAGCUCCCAAGCAUAGUCAUGGGGCUUUCUGGGCUACAGAAAAAGCCAGCAUUUUUAAGAACCUUCAUGGCACGCUGAAUGAUCCAGCUUUGUGGUUGGGUAAUUUCAACAUUUCUCUAUGCUGCACCUUGCAGAUGGGAGGAAGGGGAUGAAUGAAAGAAGAUCUGAUACUUUUGGCUUCAAGAUCUGCCAUGCUGACAAUGAAUUUACAGCCUGGAAAUGAGCCAACUUCACCACCUACUUAUCUCCUAUUUAGUUUGCUAGUGUUAUUGGCAACUUACACCAACACACCACCAUCUCUUUCAUUCUGAGGGAAAUGGAAAACUUAAAAGAUGUUCAAUACAUUUUGUGUGAAAUGUAGAUACCAGCGAGGGUGAUAAAAGCUUCAGAGAGAAUGAGAGCUGGCAGAAAUUAUUUGUUCUUUCAAGUUCUUUCAACCACAUUUUUGGACCAGUGUGAUUACAAGGGGGUUAUAUGCUGAUGAAUAUAUAUACACAUGUGCUAGAACAUCCAGACAGGCCACCCUUUAACAAAGCGCGCUGUCCCUGAACUUGGUAACCAUGUUCUUAUUUCGGAGAUGUUCUCAAACUCACUAAUUAAUUCCACCGCUCAUCUUCAGUAAUUACCAUUAUCAUCUUUUUUUUUUUAAUAAUGAAAGAGUUUAAAUUCCACAGAAACCUGGCUUCUUUUCCUCCCUCUCUCUCCAAACACAGAAAAGCUGUUGAAUAAGCACAAUCUAUUUCUUAUCUUCCAGGAACUCAGGCUGGUUCACAGUGUAAGCAGCUAAGCUGAAGGAUUUAAUUCAUCUUGUUCAUUAAAAUUCAAAUAAUUAUAAAGCCAGAGAUGUUAACUUUUCAGUUAUUACAAUACAGCUGGCAAAUAGGGACUGUUGCACCAACUGGGAGAUUUAAAACCUCAUCUUUGGUGGCCAGGUAAUUUUAUUUAACAGUUUAGCAGGAACUUAAAUCAAUACUUCUGAGAAAUCUGCUUUAUGAAAUUAUUAUUGUGAGUAAUUGAUUUAAAUGUGCUUUUCACAAUCUCAUGUUAUUUCACAUGACAUACAUACAUGUAGGGAUUAUUUCAAGGGCCUGUAGGUGCGUUUCUUGCUGUCUUUAAGUACUAGAUAGGACUCAGUGUUGACAGGAACAACCCGCUACCCCUUUAAGUUAGGAUUCUGUGGUGUUAAUGAGUAAUUG
rnacentral:lncRNA from 1 species